UGGGGAAUAUUGCACAAUGGGCGCAAGCCUGAUGCAGCCAUGCCGCGUGUGUGAAGAAGGCCUUCGGGUUGUAAAGCACUUUCAGCGGGGAGGAAGGCGAUAAGGUUAAUAACCUCAUCGAUUGACGUUACCGACAGAAGAAGCACCGGCUAACUCCGUGCCAGCAGCCGCGGUAAUACGGAGGGUGCAAGCGUUAAUCGGAAUUACUGGGCGUAAAGCGCACGCAGGCGGUUGAUUGAGUCAGAUGUGAAAUCCCCGGGCUUAACCCGGGAAUUGCAUCUGAUACUGGUCAGCUAGAGUCUUGUAGAGGGGGGUAGAAUUCCAUGUGUAGCGGUGAAAUGCGUAGAGAUGUGGAGGAAUACCGGUGGCGAAGGCGGCCCCCUGGACAAAGACUGACGCUCAGGUGCGAAAGCGGGGGGAGCAAACAGG
rnacentral:rRNA from 1 species